GAUGAAAACGCAGCGAAAUGCGAUAAGUAAUGUGAAUUGCAGAAUUCAGUGAAUCAUCGAGUCUUUGAACGCACAUUGCGCCCCCUGGUAUUCCGGGGGGCAUGCCUGUCCGAGCGUCAUUGCUGCCCUCAAGCACGGCUUGUGUGUUGGGCUUCCGUCCCUGGCAACGGGGACGGGCCCAAAAGGCAGUGGCGGCACCAUGUCUGGUCCUCGAGCGUAUGGGGCUUUGUCACCCGCUCCCGUAGGUCCAGCUGGCAGCUAGCCUCGCAACCAAUCUUUUUAACCAGGUUGACCUCGGAUCAGGUAGGGAUACCCGCUGAACUUAAGCAUAUCAAUAAGCGGAGGA
rnacentral:misc_RNA from 1 species